UACGGAGGGUGCAAGCGUUGUCCGGUUUUAUUGGGCGUAAAGAGCGUGUAGGCGGCCAGGUAGGUCAGCGGUGAAAACUCGAGGCUCAACCUCGAGACGUCGGCGGAAACCAUCUGGCUAGAGUCCGGAAGAGGAGAGUGGAAUUCCUGGUGUAGCGGUGAAAUGCGCAGAUAUCAGGAAGAACACCCGUGGCGAAGGCGGCUCUCUGGGACGGUACUGACGCUGAGACGCGAAAGCGUGGGGAGCGAACAGG
rnacentral:rRNA from 1 species